GAUGAACGCUGGCGGCGUGCCUAAUACAUGCAAGUCGAGCGAACAGACGAGGAGCUUGCUCCUCUGACGUUAGCGGCGGACGGGUGAGUAACACGUGGAUAACCUACCUAUAAGACUGGGAUAACUUCGGGAAACCGGAGCUAAAUACCGGAUAAUAUAUUGAACCGCAUGGUUCAAUAGUGAAAGACGGUUUUGCUGUCACUUAUAGAUGGAUCCGCGCCGCAUUAGCUAGUUGGUAAGGUAACGGCUUACCAAGGCAACGAUGCGUAGCCGACCUGAGAGGGUGAUCGGCCACACUGGAACUGAGACACGGUCCAGACUCCUACGGGAGGCAGCAGUAGGGAAUCUUCCGCAAUGGGCGAAAGCCUGACGGAGCAACGCCGCGUGAGUGAUGAAGGUCUUCGGAUCGUAAAACUCUGUUAUUAGGGAAGAACAAAUGUGUAAGUAACUAUGCACGUCUUGACGGUACCUAAUCAGAAAGCCGCGGCUAACUACGUGCCAGCAGCCGACGG
rnacentral:rRNA from 1 species